rnacentral:rRNA from 1 species
GAUGAACGCUGGCGGCGUGCUUAACACAUGCAAGUCGAGCGAAGCACUUAAGUUUGAUUCUUCGGAUGAAGACUUUUGUGACUGAGCGGCGGACGGGUGAGUAACGCGUGGGUAACCCGCCUCAUACAGGGGGAUAACAGUUAGAAAUGACUGCUAAUACCGCAUAAGACCACAGUACCGCAUGGUACAGUGGUAAAAACUCCGGUGGUAUGAGAUGGACCCGCGUCUGAUUAGGUAGUUGGUGGGGUAACGGCCUACCAAGCCGACGAUCAGUAGCCGACCUGAGAGGGUGACCGGCCACAUUGGGACUGAGACACGGCCCAGACUCCUACGGGAGGCAGCAGUGGGGAAUAUUGCACAAUGGAGGAAACUCUGAUGCAGCGACGCCGCGUGAAGGAUGAAGUAUUUCGGUAUGUAAACUUCUAUCAGCAGGGAAGAAAAUGACGGUACCUGACUAAGAAGCCCCGGCUAACUACGUGCCAGCAGCCGCAGUAA